UACGGAGGGAGCAAACGUUGUUCGGAUUUACUGGGCGUAAAGGGUGUGUAGGCGGUCUUGCAAGUCAGGGGUGAAAUCUCUCGGCUCAACCGGGAAACUGCCUUUGAGACUGCAGGACUUGAGGGCGUGAGAGGAGACUGGAAUUCCUAGUGUAGAGGUGAAAUUCGUAGAUAUUAGGAAGAACACCAGUGGCGAAGGCGGCUCACUGGCCCGGUACUGACGCUCAUGUGCGAAAGCGUGGGGAGCAAACAGGG
rnacentral:rRNA from 1 species